UUGCUUCAGCAGCACAUAUACUAAAAUUGGGAUGACAGAGAGAAGAUUAGCAUGGCCCCUGUGCAAGGAUGUACUGAGGCUUGCCUUACAUCG
rnacentral:snRNA from 1 species